CACCAGGGUAACACCUGUAAGCAGCUCUGGUUCCCUGCGGCCUCCUGAAGCAGCCUCUGGGCCAGUAGGAGCCCAGAGUGAGGAGCAAGGCUGUUCUGGGAGGCCGUAGCCCCUGACACCCCUGGGUCAUUUCUGGGGAACAGCUUCUGCUCUGGGGUCUGCUGGUCCACUUGGAGUUUAUGGAAAGGGUGGCCUUGCAGGCGAGUUUUGGACACCCUGCCCAUCAUGACAGAUUCUAUCUCUAGAAGCAGCUGUUGCCAUGGGCCAGGUCCAUGAGGCACUAACCACAGCAACAUGGCACUCAAAGCCACAGAGUGCUCAGGCUAGAGUCUAGGCCUGGCCAUGCCUGCCCACCCCCACAUACUGGCCGCCACUGACCCCCCUCCUUGGCCAGGCGCACGCACAAUCCCUCGUGAAGCUGAACAUUCUGUGAGGGUGAGAGCCAUCAACAUAAAACCAGCCAAUAAAUAGAACUUGUGAUUUUUUUUUUCUGAGCCAAAUGGAAGAAGAAAAAUACACCAAAGUGGCUAGUCACCUAUUAGCCCUGAUUUAUACACUACUUUAAUAUCUCAUCCAAGGAAAUGAAAGGCAUAUUUUCAUCAAAUACAAUCGUUUAUAGCUUCUAAAGGGGAGACAAACUGCUCUAUGACAAUUACCUGGGCCCGCAGAUAAAAUCGGAAGAUGUGUCCUAAUAAAACACCCUUGUCUGGCAGCCACCCCGAGGCAGCAGCCAGAGUUGUUUUCUUCCUUGUGAAUUAUUAUCUAGGCAGAAGCAAGGACUCCAUGCGCUGUGCGGCCUAUGGGGAGGGGCACCAUUGUGGAGGGUGGGAAGUGGUCACGCCCCAGCACCCACGGGCCCUUGAUGGCAAUGGUGACAUGUCACAGUAUCAGAGGCCAACCUGGGCCAGGUUUCUGAUGACCGAAUCUCCCUCCACUGCCCGGCUCCCCGUGUCACUACUCUGUGGCUUCUGUAAAACUCUGAGUAGGAGGAGGGUGGUGAAAUUCAGUUGAUAUGCAACCAACCUAAAUCUGUCACCUGGGUACAUGGUCCUUGGACACACAUCUUGCUCGCUUGGUGACAGAAAUUUAGCCGAGGGAUGCUGCUUAAGGUCUUCUCGGUUCUCAGUUCCUUUGUGUUCCCUUGUCAAAGUUCCAUGGACUAAACCACCAAGUAUCUAGGGCCCCAGAGGGACUUUCCUUGUCUUCCCGUGUUCAGAGAAGGGAGAAGGCCUUUGAUGGGCUCUGUUCCAAGGCUGAGCAGAUAACAAAUGCAGGCUCAUUCUUCACUCAACGAUACUAAGUGGGGGCACAGAGCUAGGCGCUGAGAUGCAGGGUAAACAGCACAGAAGGUUCCCACGCAGGCAACCCUCUCUGCAGGGGAGAAAGACUAUGACCAGGCACACAAAGGCAUCAGCCAGGGGUGUACUGAGGAGUUUUCCAGAGGCCACAGAAUGCAUGCUAUCACAACAGACAGAAAACAGAAGCAAAGAGGAGAAUCCAGAUGUCUUCUAUUAAGCCAGGCAUUAAAGAGACUUGCAGAAAUGUG
rnacentral:lncRNA from 1 species